UACGUAGGGUGCGAGCGUUGUUCGGAUUUACUGGGCGUAAAGGGCGCGUAGGCGGUAGCACAAGUCAGUUGUGAAAUCUCCGGGCUUAACUCGGAAAGGUCAACUGAUACUGUGCGACUAGAGUGCAGAAGGGGCAACUGGAAUUCUCGGUGUAGCGGUGAAAUGCGUAGAUAUCGAGAGGAACACCAGCGGCGAAGGCGGGUUGCUGGGCUGACACUGACGCUGAUGCGCGAAAGCCAGGGGAGCGAACGGG
rnacentral:rRNA from 1 species